rnacentral:rRNA from 1 species
CAGUAGGGAAUCUUCCACAAUGGACGCAAGUCUGAUGGAGCAACGCCGCGUGAGUGAAGAAGGUCUUCGGAUCGUAAAACUCUGUUGUUAGAGAAGAACAUGCAGGAGAGUAACUGUUCUUGUAUUGACGGUAUCUAACCAGAAAGCCACGGCUAACUACGUGCCAG